rnacentral:rRNA from 1 species
GNGGCUCUCUGGUCUGUCACUGACGCUGAGGCUCGAAAGCGUGGGUAGCGAACGGGAUUAGAUACCCUGGUAGUNCACGCCGUAAACGAUGAGUGCUAGGUGUUAGGCCCUUUCCGGGGCUUAGUGCCGGAGCUAACGCAAUAAGCACUCCGCCUGGGGAGUACGACCGCAAGGUUGAAACUCAAAGGAAUUGACGGGGGCCCGCACAAGCGGUGGAGCAUGUGGUUUAAUUCGAAGCAACGCGAAGAACCUUACCAGGUCUUGACAUCCCGAUGCUAUUCUUAGAGAUAGGAAGUUACUUCGGUACAUCGGAGACAGGUGGUGCAUGGUUGUCGUCAGCUCGUGUCGUGAGAUGUUGGGUUAAGUCCCGCAACGAGCGCAACCCUUAUUGUUAGUUGCCAUCAUUAAGUUGGGCACUCUAGCGAGACUGCCGGUAAUAAACCGGAGGAAGGUGGGGAUGACGUCAAAUCAUCAUGCCCCUUAUGACCUGGGCUACACACGUGCUACAAUGGUCGGUACAACGAGUUGCGAGCCGGUGACGGCAAGCUAAUCUCUGAAAGCCGAUCUCAGUUCGGAUUGGAGGCUGCAACUCGCCUCCAUGAAGUCGGAAUCGCUAGUAAUCGCGGAUCAGCACGCCGCGGUGAAUACGUUCCCGGGCCUUGUACACACCGCCCGUCACACCACGAGAGUUUGUAACACCCGAAGUCGG